rnacentral:rRNA from 1 species
GCAGUAGCCGCGGGAAUACGUAGGGUGCAAGCGUUAAUCGGAAUUAUUGGGCGUAAAGCGAGUGCAGACGGUUACUUAAGCCAGAUGUGAAAUCCCCAAGCUUAACUUGGGACGUGCAUUUGAAACUGGGUGACUAGAGUGUGUCAGAGGGAGGUAGAAUUCCACAUGUAGCGGUGGAAUGCGUAGAGAUGUGGAGGAAUACCGAUGGCGAAGGCAGCCUCCUGGGAUAACACUGACGUUGAGGCUCGAAAGCGUGGGGAGCAAACAGGAUUAGAUACCCCCGUAGUCCCUGUCUCUUAUAC